rnacentral:tRNA from 1 species
GGAGAGAUGGCCGAGUGGCUUAAGGCGCUCGCUUGGAAAGCGUGUAUACGGGAAACCGUAUCGAGGGUUCGAAUCCCUCUCUCUCCG